rnacentral:lncRNA from 1 species
CGGGCUGCAUCUUUGGGCUUGCGCACCAUGGGCCCCUCUAUUUUUGGCCUCACUGCUAUGGGCUUCACUGUUGUGGGUCAAAUUCAAAGUGCUAAAACCCAACAAUAAUCCUCCUUUUCCUUAGAAAGAAUUGGUUUGUUUUUAUUUAGGGACAAAUAAGAAUUGCCCUAAGUCCAAUUAAAUCUCCAGGGCAGAUCCGAGGAGAUAAAUAAAAAAUGGCUCUUCCAGCC